rnacentral:rRNA from 1 species
AUCUCUUGGUUCCAGCAUCGAUGAAGAACGCAGCGAAAUGCGAUAAAUAAUGUGAAUUGCAGAAUUUUAGUGAAUCAUCGAGUCUUUGAACGCACAUUGCGCCCCUCGGUAUUCCGGGGGGCAUGCCUGUCCGAGCGUCAUU